CUUACAUAACAAAGCAUCAGUGCUGGGGAGCUUGUACGAUGUCAUCACCAGCAAGAAUAAGAAGUAUUGGCAGCAGCAAGCAGACGGGCAGGCUGGGGUUUUGCAUGGAAAUCAUGAACCCUGCAUUGCUUUUCUCUUUUGAAAUGUUUUGGAAGGAGAGUUAUGAAUAGCCCAGAAAUAGGUCUCAUUUUGUGGGUGGGAAGAAUGACCAGAAGCACGAUAGCUAAAUCUUCCAGCAAGUGCACGGUACCUCUCCUGGAGUGUGCAGUAAACCCGAGAGGAGGAAUUGCCUUCUGUGAACUUCUGAAGCAUCACAUCUGGAGUGAAGAGGACGACGAGGCAGUGCAUAAUGCAAAGGAUGCUGCUGAAAGCCUUGGUCUGCUUUUAACUCAUUGUGAUUGUUUAUAUGGUGUAUUACAGUGACAGAUGUUCAUAUGCUGAACCAUCCCUGCAUCUCUGGAAUGAAGCUUACUUGAUUGCGGUAGAUCAACUUUUUGAUAAGUUCUUGGAUUCCAUUUGCAAAGUUGGACAUCCCAAAGAUGGCAUAGAUGAACAUGACCAGGAAAAGCAGGAGGCCGAUGUUGAACAGCGCAGGAAGGGACAUCAUUAGAGCAAAAAGCAGCGUGCGGAUCCCCUUGGCUCCUUUGAUCAGGCGUAGGAUUCGGCCAAUCCUGGCCAAGCGGAUGACUCGGAACAGGGCUGGAUUAUAGACCAAACCAGAUUUCUCCACUGGGUUGCACCUUGUCUCUCCCGGAUCCUGUAACUGACCCCUUACUGGCUCUUCUUCGAUGUUGGCCUGGUUCUGUUCCUCAUACGCCAUGGCUACCACAGCCAGGAUCAAGUUUAUCAGGUUGCCCAUGAACAGCUGGAGUCCAAUUAAUGCAAAGACACUGAGACAGAACACAGUGAGGAUCAUGACGUCAGACAGCUUCUUCACCGACUGGAUCAGGGCCCCCACGAUGGUCUUCAGGCCUUAAAAUGUAGGGGGAAAAGUACAUUCACAAGGACAUAAAGGCUCUGGAUUUUACCAUUGGGCAGAAACUAUUUCUGAAUUCUACCACAACACCUUGAGAGUUAUAGAGAAUUGUCAUGGUUAAUACAAAAUGGAUUACAUUUUUUUUUACAAGCAGCAUGAUUUCUUUGUCUGGGAUCUUGAACUUCAUCAAAAGAAGAAAGCUAACUGAACCCAAGCAUUCACUACACUGUGCUUCCUAAUUAUGGACAGAAUGUGACCAGCUGCUUCAAGGUCAUGCUUCCAUGACUUGUCUGCCAUGGUGGACUGCACCCUUAAACAGAAUCAGAAUUCUUCUCACUGUGCUCAGCAUGGAGGCCCGUCACUAUAAAGCCAGAACUCCAGAGUCAAAGGCAGAAAAUCUUAAGUUCAAGACCAGCCUGGGCUACACUGCAAAUCUUGCCUGAAAAAGUGAAAAUAAACUAAAACAAUAACAACAACUAACUUGGCAGAUUGUGUCUUAAGGGACUUCAUCACUUAGAGGGUAAAUUAAGAAGAGUUGCUAUAUUCUGCUUUUCCCCCCCAAAGUCCAUUAUAAACUGCACGUGAAUUGUAGCAAUGACCAUAAUAGGUAUAUAAAUGCAGAAAGAGGUUGUUGAAACGAUUUUUUUUUCCUGGAUUUGUCCAAUUCCCUUGGAAUAACUAAUAAGCUUCGAUUAGGACAAAGUGGAUUACUUUCCUUCUCAGGCAGCUGGGCACAUUGCAAGUGAGCUGGAUGAAUAACAAUGCCCUAAGGCGCCGGGCGCACGCCUUUAAUCCCAGCACUCGGGAGGCAGAGCCAGGCGGAU